rnacentral:rRNA from 1 species
UACGUAGGGGGCUAGCGUUGUCCGGAUUUAUUGGGCGUAAAGAGCGUGUAGGCGGCCAGGUAGGUCUGGUGUGAAAACUCGAGGCUUAACCUCGAGAUGUCAUCGGAAACCAUUUGGCUAGAGUCCGGAAGAGGAGAGUGGAAUUCCUGGUGUAGCGGUGAAAUGCGCAGAUAUCAGGAGGAACACCGGUAGCGAAGGCGGGUCUCUGGGCCACUACUGACGCUGAGAAGCGAAAGCAUGGGGAGCGAACAGG